UACGUAGGGUGCAAGCGUUAAUCGGAAUUACUGGGCGUAAAGCGUGCGCAGGCGGUUGUGUAAGACAGAUGUGAAAUCCCCGGGCUCAACCUGGGAACUGCAUUUGUGACUGCACAGCUGGAGUGCGGCAGAGGGGGAUGGAAUUCCACGUGUAGCAGUGAAAUGCGUAGAGAUGUGGAGGAACACCGAUGGCGAAGGCAGCCCCCUGGGCUAACACUGACGCUCAUGCACGAAAGCGUGGGGAGCAAACAGG
rnacentral:rRNA from 1 species